GAUGAACGCUGGCGGCGUGCCUAAUACAUGCAAGUAGAACGCUGAAGCUUGGUGCUUGCACCGAGCGGAUGAGUUGCGAACGGGUGAGUAACGCGUAGGUAACCUGCCUCUUAGCGGGGGAUAACUAUUGGAAACGAUAGCUAAUACCGCACAAAAGACGAUAUCGCAUGAUAUUGAUUUGAAAGGUGCAAUUGCAUCACUAAGAGAUGGACCUGCGUUGUAUUAGCUAGUUGGUGAGGUAACGGCUCACCAAGGCGACGAUACAUAGCCGACCUGAGAGGGUGAUCGGCCACACUGGGACUGAGACACGGCCCGGACUCCUACGGGAGGCAGCAGUAGGGAAUCUUCGGCAAUGGGGGCAACCCUGACCGAGCAACGCCGCGUGAGUGAAGAAGGUUUUCGGAUCGUAAAGCUCUGUUGUAAGAGAAGAACGAGUGUGAGAGUGGAAAGUUCACACUGUGACGGUAACUUACCAGAAAGGGACGGCUAACUACGUGCCAGCAGCCGCGGUAAUACGUAGGUCCCGAGCGUUAUCCGGAUUUAUUGGGCGUAAAGCGAGCGCAGGCGGUUAGAUAAGUCUGAAGUUAAAGGCUGUGGCUUAACCAUAGUACGCUUUGGAAACUGUUUAACUUGAGUGCAGAAGGGGAGAGUGGAAUUCCAUGUGUAGCGGUGAAAUGCGUAGAUAUAUGGAGGAACACCGGUGGCGAAAGCGGCUCUCUGGUCUGUAACUGACGCUGAGGCUCGAAAGCGUGGGGAGCAAACAGG
rnacentral:rRNA from 1 species